ensembl:snRNA Rnu6-1001 RNA, U6 small nuclear 1001
GUGAUCACUUUAGCAAUUCAUAUACUAAAAAUGGAACAUUACAGAGAAGAUUAGCAUGACCCCUGUGCAAGGAUAACACUCAAAUUUGUGAAGCAUUUCAUAUUUUU